rnacentral:sRNA from 2 species
UGUCCUAUUGACUAGCGGGGAGAUCCAUGUUCCAUGUUCCAAGUCCAGCCGUCCCAAGGUAGCUUUCGUGCAGCCGGCCACACGGGCGACCCACUCCAAUUAGCCUUAAGGCGCUCCCAGAGUGUCCGCAAGUCAUGUUAAAAAUCAAAUGGGGCUCAUUCUCUCACUUAACAACACAUCUCAUCCCUCGUUCAAACACCAACAUCGCACCACCAAAGAUCGAAGGAAGAACAUCUGAAGAGGGAAGUGGGGAGGUGGGAUGAAGGUUCUAGUCCAUCAAUCCUAAAACCCCCCUCAUUCAAGAAGCUCAUACAGAUCCUGUCGUGAUGAUGUUUCCAAGGGAUGUGUGUUAAAAAACACGUAGAUGAGUAAAUAUCAUCAGGCUCUCUUCCUUUCUCAAUACAUGAAAAGCAAAGUCAAAGCUACUCAGAACUCUCAUGGUUUGCACAGAGCUGCAAUGCAUACUUAGCUUAAGCAUUGUCAACUAAUACUAGAUCUUACCCAAUCGUCCGAGCAGCAGUCAGGGA